GAUGAACGCUGGCGGCGUGCCUAAUACAUGCAAGUCGAGCGAACAGAUAAGGAGCUUGCUCCUUUGACGUUAGCGGCGGACGGGUGAGUAACACGUGGGUAACCUACCUAUAAGACUGGAAUAACUCCGGGAAACCGGGGCUAAUGCCGGAUAACAUUUAGAACCGCAUGGUUCUAAAGUGAAAGAUGGUUUUGCUAUCACUUAUAGAUGGACCCGCGCCGUAUUAGCUAGUUGGUAAGGUAACGGCUUACCAAGGCAACGAUACGUAGCCGACCUGAGAGGGUGAUCGGCCACACUGGAACUGAGACACGGUCCAGACUCCUACGGGAGGCAGCAGUAGGGAAUCUUCCGCAAUGGGCGAAAGCCUGACGGAGCGACGCCGCGUGAGUGAUGAAGGUCUUCGGAUCGUAAAACUCUGUUAUUAGGGAAGAACAAAUGUGUAAGUAACUGUGCACGUCUUGACGGUACCUAAUCAGAAAGCCACGGCUAACUACGUG
rnacentral:rRNA from 1 species